GACGAACGCUGGCGGCGUGCUUAACACAUGCAAGUCGAACGGUGAAGCUCCAGCUUGCUGGAGUGGAUCAGUGGCGAACGGGUGAGUAACACGUGAGCAACCUGCCCCAGACUCUGGAAUAAGCGCUGGAAACGGCGUCUAAUACUGGAUACGAGAUCAAGCCGCAUGGUUAUGGUCUGGAAAGUGUUUCGGUUUGGGAUGGGCUCGCGGCCUAUCAGCUUGUUGGUGAGGUAAUGGCUCACCAAGGCGACGACGGGUAGCCGGCCUGAGCGGGCGACCGGCCACACUGGGACUGAGACACGGCCCAGACUCCUACGGGAGGCAGCAGUGGGGAAUAUUGCACAAUGGGCGAAAGCCUGAUGCAGCGACGCCGCGUGAGGGAUGACGGCCUUCGGGUUGUAAACCUCUUUCAGCAGGGAAGAAGCGAAAGUGACGGUACCUGCAGAAGAAGCACCGGCUAACUACGUG
rnacentral:rRNA from 1 species